UGGGAAUUUUGGACAAUUGGGCGAAAGCCUGAUCCAGCAAUGCCGCGUGUGUGAAGAAGGCCUUCGGGUUGUAAAGCACUUUUGUCCGGAAAGAAAUCCUUGGCUCUAAUACAGUCGGGGGAUGACGGUACCGGAAGAAUAAGCACCGGCUAACUACGUGCCAGCAGCCGCGGUAAUACGUAGGGUGCAAGCGUUAAUCGGAAUUACUGGGCGUAAAGCGUGCGCAGGCGGUUUGCUAAGACCGAUGUGAAAUCCCCGGGCUCAACCUGGGAACUGCAUUGGUGACUGGCAGGCUAGAGUAUGGCAGAGGGGGGUAGAAUUCCACGUGUAGCAGUGAAAUGCGUAGAGAUGUGGAGGAAUACCGAUGGCGAAGGCAGCCCCCUGGGCAAUACUGACGCUCAUGCACGAAAGCGUGGGGAGCAAACAGGAUUAGAUACCCCUGGUAGUCCACGCCCUAAACGAUGUCAACUAGUUGUUGGGGAUUCAUUUCCUUAGUAACGUAGCUAACGCGUGAAGUUGACCGCCUGGGGAGUACGGUCGCAAGAUUAAAACUUAAAUGAAUUGACGGGGUCAUAGCUG
rnacentral:rRNA from 1 species